UGGGGAAUAUUGCACAAUGGGCGCAAGCCUGAUGCAGCGGCGCCGCGUGGGGGAUGACGGCCUUCGGGUUGUAAACCUCUUUCACCAUCGACGAAGGUCCGGGUUUUCUCGGAUUGACGGUAGGUGGAGAAGAAGCACCGGCCAACUACGUGCCAGCAGCCGCGGUAAUACGUAGGGUGCGAGCGUUGUCCGGAAUUACUGGGCGUAAAGAGCUCGUAGGUGGUUUGUCGCGUUGUUCGUGAAAUCUCACGGCUUAACUGUGAGCGUGCGGGCGAUACGGGCAGACUAGAGUACUGCAGGGGAGACUGGAAUUCCUGGUGUAGCGGUGGAAUGCGCAGAUAUCAGGAGGAACACCGGUGGCGAAGGCGGGUCUCUGGGCAGUAACUGACGCUGAGGAGCGAAAGCGUGGGGAGCGAACAGGAUUAGAUACCCUGGUAGUCCACGCCGUAAACGGUAGGUACUAGGUGUGGGUUUCCUUCCUUGGGAUCCGUGCCGUAGCUAACGCAUUAAGUACCCCGCCUGGGGAGUACGGCCGCAAGGCUA
rnacentral:rRNA from 1 species